rnacentral:tRNA from 1 species
AAAAAUCUUCUCGAGGUA